rnacentral:rRNA from 1 species
UACGGAGGGGGCUAGCGUUGUUCGGAAUUACUGGGCGUAAAGCGCACGUAGGCGGCUUUGUUAGUUAGAGGUGAAAGCCCGGAGCUCAACUCCGGAAUUGCCUUUAAGACUGCAUCGCUAGAAUUGUGGAGAGGUGAGUGGAAUUCCGAGUGUAGAGGUGAAAUUCGUAGAUAUUCGGAAGAACACCAGUGGCGAAGGCGACUCACUGGACACAUAUUGACGCUGAGGUGCGAAAGCGUGGGGAGCAAACAGG